UGAAAUUCCAAAAUAUAUCACUUGCCACUUUAAUCUUCCACACAAAUAGAGAGAUAGAGAGAGAAGCUUGAUGUUGAAAUGCAGGCCUUCAGAACCUAUUCCGGCGAUUAUUUAGGUCUACACCAUGGUCAACAUCUCCUUUUUCACCUCAAAGCUACAAAUCGAGACAUGAGGAGGCAAUCAUGUUGGUUACUAAACAUUGCGGUUCUGGAGUCUUGAUGACCAUCCGCACUGGAAUUUUUUGCAUUAUUUGUUUCUGGUCCUCUCCUCCUGAAUAAUAUUUCUUUAAUUUUGCUCUCUCGCUCAUAAGUUUAUGAAAGUUUGUUCCUUGAUUGGACAAUUGAGUAUUUGAGUUGUCUGAUAGUUUUGAGACAUAUGGCAAAUGAGUCCAAAGUUUUCUUUAGAAGGUCAAAGAAGAAUGCGAUGAUUAUCUGGUUGAAUCUUCACACAACAUGUGCGAUUGUGGAUUGAAGAGAUUCUUUGGGACAUGCAAAAUGACAUGGAUGUAGAGUCACCCAUAUACAAGAGAGCUUGGUCUUCAGCGUGGUUAGGGCAGUUAGCUGUGGAGUCAUCAGUCUUGUGGUCCGAAUCUAAACUGAAUUAUUUGAGAAGCAGUCCUGUUAAGGUACACACAAAGGGGUAACUGGUUUAAUCUACAUCGGCGAUGUUUAUAUAUGAGGCUGAAGGUUCAACGUCAUUCUCAUCCCUCCCUUCAUUUCCCGAAGUUGCAACGUAUCUUAAAAUGGUAUCAUACCCAAUGUUAACAUCUGUUUUGCAUUUGACACUUUUAAGAUAAUUGGCCAGUUUGACCUCAUAAGGGUUAUACAUAACCAAAAUGGUAUCACACUCAAUGUUAACAUCUGUUUGCAUUUGAUUUUUUAAAGAUAAAUAGCCUGUUUAACCUCAUAAAGGUUGCACAUAACCAAAUCAUGCAUAUUAUAUAGAGGUGGAAAAUGGGAGGGUCAAACAGGUUGGGUAACGGGUCAAAUGGCUUAGUGGCAAACGAAUACAAUUUUUUUCAGAAAAAGUUUAAAUUAUGUUAUAAAUAAGUAGUAAGUUCAAUAUGAUUAAAGGGAAAGAAGAACACGCAGAGGUGAAAUUCUAUCUGGGUAUGUUUUAUAUUUGGAUCUUUUUAUGUUUUUUAGCCUCUUGAUUUCUCUUCUGUUUAUCUUUCAGGGUUUAUUUUUUUGGUUAAUAUUGACACUUUGAAUUUGAUUAAGGGUAAUCUGUAGUAAUCAUGCCCUUCAUAAUAUGGUAACAAGUGCCAUAUUACGUUUGUUGAAUUGAUGUAAAAGACUACAGGGUACGUACAUAUUUUGAAGACUUAUAGGCUAAGUUUACUGCAUUUGUCCCACAAGAAUCACACAUUAUUUGACACGAUACAAAAGUCUAUGGAAGAAGUUGAUUAUUAUGAUUGAAAUGCCCUAAUAUGUUGUUUUGUAUAUUCAGAAGGGAUAUGCUUAAUACAUUGAUUUCUUAUUUGUGGUGGGUGCUUGGUUUCAUUUGGAUGGUGUCUUACAAUAAUAUUGCCCCUCCACGUCUAUUCUGGUUGGCUGGACAACAACCCUGUAUCUCAUAUUCGGAAUAUACUUAACAUGUUUUGGUUCUGUGAAAGUUGGGUAACCCACAAAACUAAGCAUGGUUCGGGAAAAAAAACACACCAUGGCUGGUGAAGGAAAGCUACAAGAAAGUCAGGGAAACAUGAGCUCGCAUUAAAGGAGGAACUCCAUCUUUAAAGCGUGAAGAGAAUUUGAAAAUUUUUAUCUAAUUUGGUAUGUUUGAAACUGCAGCUGGUGGUUUGUUGCUCAAAGUCGUUUACUUUUUGUACAAGUAACGAGUCGGGCUGAGUUAAGUCAACAUGUUAUUUCAUAUGAAUACUUAGCAUCCAUAUUAUUACAAAUGACCCAUGUUAUUACAAAAGUAAUCUAUUUUUUUAACAAAAUGAUAUAAGAGGUUUUCUUUGUAGUAAAAAUACACUUAGGGUGACAUACAAGGUUCAACACAUCUUAUAUGUAGAGAUAAAACCUAACCCGAGUCAACAUAUUAUAAGUAAACUUCUAAAGUUAUCACCCACAGUUC